UUCAGCUUCCAUUUCGGCAGCAGAAAACUACUUGGCUCAUCUGGGUUACUUGUUUGGUCUCUUGUGAGUAAUUUCUACAAUAAAUACUUACUCUUUCAGUAAGUGCACCGGUUAUCGUUGCGGCAUCAUCCACCUGUUCUUUUUGAGCAGAAGACCUGAGGAAGGAUCUAAAUGCUUCCUUUGAUCGAAUAAAGUUUAUUUUGGGAACUGGAAUUGGAGGUCUUCCCUCCCUGUUUACUCGAUGUUUCCUUGCGGAAGAACGUGUGGGACCUUAGGUGGGUCACAUGCUUCUGCACCAACCAGCGUUUCUCUCUCUGACAAGAAAACGUGUCCUGACCUUGUGCUUCAAAUGCCUACCUAGUGAUAAUUAUACACCUACAUUGUGUUGAGUGGAGACUGGCUGUCUUUAUUUACCAGACACCAAGCUUUAAAAAUGAACUCCUGUCCAAGAGACUAUCUCAUAGCCUGUCCAGUCCAGCUGUUAAGCUCAAGGAGACCAUGAUGAUGACAGUUAUUACAAGUAAAGCGUGGGUACAGGAAAAAGCCACGGAAAGAUUGUAGACUGACCAAGUUAUUCUGAAUUUGACGUUCAUGAAAAUGGGGUCCGAUCGAAGAACAGAACUUUGUCACUCGGCCCCUCCCGUAUGUAUGCCCCAUUCCAUCACAGGUCCCUCGGCCCUAAUAAAAGUCACCAUGUCCUAGCUGUGUCACAAUCAAUCUUGUA